UUGAGAAAGUCAUAGUGGCUAUGGUGUUGGCUUGAAACCAGUUUUAGGGGGUUCGACUCCCUCCUUUC
rnacentral:tRNA from 1 species